rnacentral:tRNA from 2 species
GUGGGUAUAGCUCAGUUGGUUAGAGCGCCGGAUUGUGGAUCCGGAGGUCGGGGGUUCGAAACCCCUUACCCACCCCA